UGGGGAAUAUUGCACAAUGGGCGCAAGCCUGAUGCAGCCAUGCCGCGUGUAUGAAGAAGGCCUUCGGGUUGUAAAGCACUUUCAGCGAGGAGGAAGGCGUUGUGGUUAAUAACCGCAACGAUUGACGUUACUCGCAGAAGAAGCACCGGCUAACUCCGUGCCAGCAGCCGCGGUAAUACGGAGGGUGCAAGCGUUAAUCGGAAUUACUGGGCGUAAAGCGCACGCAGGCGGUCUGUCAAGUCGGAUGUGAAAUCCCCGGGCUCAACCUGGGAACUGCAUCCGAAACUGGCAGGCUAGAGUCUUGUAGAGGGGGGUAGAAUUCCAGGUGUAGCGGUGAAAUGCGUAGAGAUCUGGAGGAAUACCGGUGGCGAAGGCGGCCCCCUGGACAAAGACUGACGCUCAGGUGCGAAAGCGUGGGGAGCAAACA
rnacentral:rRNA from 1 species